rnacentral:rRNA from 1 species
ACCAGACUCCUACGGGAGGCAGCAGUGGGGAAUAUUGGGCAAUGGAGGCAACUCUUACCCAGCAAUGCCGCGUGAAUGAAGAAGGUCUUCGGAUUGUAAAGUUCUUUAAUUGGGGACGAAAAAAAUGACGGUACCCAAGGAAUAAGCCCCGGCUAACUACGUGCCAGCAGCCGCGGUAAUACGUAGGGGGCAAGCGUUGUUCGGAAUGACUGGGCGUAAAGGGUGUGUAGGCGGUGUAGCAAGUUAGAAGUGAAAGCCCGGGGCCCAACCCCGGGACUGCUCUUGGAACUGCGUGGCUAGAGUGCAGGAGGGGCAGGCGGAAUUCCUGGUGUAGCGGUGAAAUGCGUAGAUAUCAGGAGGAACACCGGUGGCGAAGGCGGCCUGCUGGACUGCAACUGACGUUGAGGCCCGAAAGCGUGGGGAGCAAACAGGAUUAGAUACCCCUGUA